GAAGAAAGCUGGCGGCGUGCUUAACACAUGCAAGUCGAACGGAAAGGCCCUGCUUUUGUGGGGUGCUCGAGUGGCGAACGGGUGAGUAACACGUGAGUAACCUGCCCUUGACUUUGGGAUAACUUCAGGAAACUGGGGCUAAUACCGGAUAGGAGCUCCUGCUGCAUGGUGGGGGUUGGAAAGUUUCGGCGGUUGGGGAUGGACUCGCGGCUUAUCCGCUUGUUGGUGGGGUAGUGGCUUACCAAGGCUUUGACGGGUAGCCGGCCUGAGAGGGUGACCGGCCACAUUGGGACUGAGAUACGGCCCAGACUCCUACGGGAGGCAGCAGUGGGGAAUAUUGCACAAUGGGCGGAAGCCUGAUGCAGCAACGCCGCGUGCGGGAUGACGGCCUUCGGGUUGUAAACCGCUUUCGCCUGUGACGAAGCGUGAGUGACGGUAAUGGGUAAAGAAGCACCGGCUAACUACGUG
rnacentral:rRNA from 1 species